rnacentral:rRNA from 1 species
GACGAACGCUGGCGGCGUGCUUAACACAUGCAAGUCGAACGGAAAGGCCCUGCUUUUGUGGGGUGCUCGAGUGGCGAACGGGUGAGUAACACGUGAGUAACCUGCCCUUGACUUUGGGAUAACUUCAGGAAACUGGGGCUAAUACCGGAUAGGAGCUCCUGCUGCAUGGUGGGGGUUGGAAAGUUUCGGCGGUUGGGGAUGGACUCGCGGCUUAUCAGCUUGUUGGUGGGGUAGUGGCUUACAAAGGCGUUGACGGGUAGCCGGCGUGAGAGGGUGACCGGCCACAUUGGGACUGAGAUACGGCCCAGACUCCUACGGGAGGCAGCAGUGGGGAAUAUUGCACAAUGGGCGGAAGCCUGAUGCAGCAACGCCGCGUGCGGGAUGACGGCCUUCGGGUUGUAAACCGCUUUCGCCUGUGACGAAGCGUGAGUGACGGUAAUGGGUAAAGAAGCACCGGCUAACUACGUG